rnacentral:rRNA from 1 species
AGGAUGAACGCUGGCGGCGUGCCUAAAACAUGCAAGUCAUACGGGCUACCUUCGGGUAGCCAGUGGCAAAUGGGUGAGUAACACGUGGGAACGCGCCUUGGGGUGGGGAAUAACGCUGAGAAAUCAGUGCUAAUACCGCAUAUGGUCUAACGACUAAAGCAGCAAUGCGCCCGGAGAGCGGCCCGCGACCGAUUAGCUAGUUGGGGGGGUAAUGGCCUCCCAAGGCGACGAUCGGUAGCUGGUCUGAGAGGACGAUCAGCCACACUGGGAUUGAGAGCGGCCCAGACUCCUACGGGGGGCAGCAGUGAGGAAUUUUCGUCAAUGGGGGCAACCCUGAACGAGCAACGCCGCGUGCAGGAAGAAGGUUUUCGGAUCGUAAACUGCUUUUCUCGGGGAAGAGAACGGAUGGUACCCGAGGAAUCAGCCCCGGCUAACUACGCGCCAGCAGCCGC